ACCUCCACGCCCAUCCAUCCCUCCCUGCUCACGCCCGAAACCCUAGCCCGCGGGCGGCCAUGGUGACCGAGCUCAGGAUCCGCAGUAUCUUCCUCUCCUCCGAGAGCAAGAGCGGCAACUUCCGCAAGGUCAGUUUGCUCCCUCCGAUCUGCUCUGCAUGCGUGAAGGGGCCCGGCCAAAGAGAAGCUGCUGCUGUUGCAGGUUCUUCCUCAUCCCCGCUGUAGGUGGUCUGCCGCUGCGUGCAUGACAACAUGAGGUGCCGCAAUCGGCGUGGUAUGCUGGUGGAUGAUGGCGACAGUGAGAUGGUUGGCAAGGAUUAUGAGAGGUCGGCGAGCAGCACUCCUUCCUCUCUUCCCUGUGGAGAAGAUGACCUGCAGCUCAUUGACUGCUGAGUUCCCUCGAGUCUCUCUUUCUUCCGGCAAGGUAAAGUUCAGUUUUCUGGUGACCAUGUUUAUUAAAUUCUAUGGUAGAAUCCAUAUUGAUUCUAAGAUGACAUUAUAGUGCAUUUUUGUCCAGACAUAUGAU